CUGUGCAGCUGGAUCCUGUGCAGCUGGAUUCUACUGCCCUUCUAGCCUCAUUUCCUCCAAUUCCACAGAUUCCCUGUGUCCUCAGGGUCAUUUCUGCCCAUCAAGAACAACUCAUCCCAUUCCAUGCCUCCCAGGGCAAUACCAGCCAAACCAGGGCUCAGCCAACUGCCUUCCUUGCCCUCCAGGGUUCUACUGCCCGGAAUAUGGCACAAAAGAGCCCAGGGUGUGCCCAGCACAUGCCUACUGUCCCGCUGGGACGCGGUCACCAUCUCCUUGUCCCCAAGGAACCUUCACUUCCCAAGACACAUCGGGCCUCAAGGAAGAAGG